ACUGAACGCUGGCGGCAUGCUUUACACAUGCAAGUCGAACGGUAACAGGGUGCUUGCACCGCUGACGAGUGGCGAACGGGUGAGUAAUGCGUCGGAACGUGCCGAGUAGUGGGGGAUAACGCAGCGAAAGUUGUGCUAAUACCGCAUACGUACUGAGGUAGAAAGUGGGGGACCUUCGGGCCUCACGCUAUUCGAUCGGCCGCCGUCUGAUUAGCUAGUAGGUGAGGUAAAGGCUCACCUAGGCGACGAUCAGUAGCGGGUCUGAGAGGAUGAUCCGCAACACUGGGACUGAGACACGGCCCAGACUCCUACGGGAGGCAGCAGUGGGGAAUUUUGGACAAUGGGCGAAAGCCUGAUCCAGCCAUGCCGCGUGUCUGAAGAAGGCCUUCGGGUUGUAAAGGACUUUUGUCGGGGAGGAAAUCCCCAGCGUUAAUACCGCUGGGGGAUGACAGUACCUGAAGAAUAAGCACCGGCUAACUACGUGCCAGCAGCCGCGGUAA
rnacentral:rRNA from 1 species